UACGUAGGGGGCAAGCGUUGUUCGGAAUUACUGGGCGUAAAGGGCGCGUAGGCGGCUGCGUAAGUCGGGAGUGAAAGCCCGGGGCUCAACCCCGGAAUGUCUCUCGAAACUGCGCGGCUCGAGUGCGGAAGAGGCAACUGGAAUUCCCAGUGUAGCGGUGAAAUGCGUAGAUAUUGGGAAGAACACCUGAGGCGAAGGCGGGUUGCUGGGCCGACACUGACGCUGAGGCGCGAAAGCCAGGGGAGCAAACGGG
rnacentral:rRNA from 1 species